AUGAUUCACAAAAUAGAUGUUAUGAGGAAAAUGUGAGCAUGGCGUUGUGUUCAGGUUUAUCUUCGCCACAUGCACAAUUCCUAAGAAGUUUGUUUUAGUUUUUCUUAAAGCCAUCUGCAAGUAUCUCGUUAAUUAUAGGCAUAGGUGAUAAACUCAACACUCUGAGAAAGUUCACCAGAAAGUCAACGUUUUGACCUCGCUGCGAAGUUCAAAAGGACGCCCGUCUGCAUUUAGCUAGAAAAUCAAACAUUCUGCUCAUUCAAAAAUAGUACACUGAGUGGUUUCAUCUUCUCGGGGACGCAGCAGGGCUCUGGGAUACCUGGAAUUAUCCCAACGGCCUUGACUAUACUCUGGAUGGUUGCGUGGUUGGAGGGGCGGACCACCUGAAAAAGGGCAGAAAAGAGGAUAAUGAGCAUGUCUAAACCAUUCACAUUCGCAUACGUGGAUUCUCGGCGUGAGGUUCUCUGACCUUUGGAAUGGGGAAUUCACACGUUCCCGCACAGUAGAAGGCAUCGAAAGACUUGGGAGACAAGAUCCAUUCGUUCCAGCCGAUAUCUGCAAAGUCCACCUUCAGGUACCUCCUGGAACAGCUGCGAGGUUCUUUCCACUGUCUCCUCCGGGCCUUCUUCAUGGUUUUCUCAUCAAACCGGAGAACCUGAGACUUGCUGAAUCCAUCAGUGUGCUCCUGGCCUUUCCUCCGACGUUCUUUUUUAAAAGGCUUUGGCUUGAGCGCAAAGUAAGCACUUUCCCACAUAUCGUGCUGUUUGAAGCUGUUGUACUCCACCUCCGGGAGCUCGUUGUUCUCAAUGGGAUCAGAGAAGUCCGUUUCCAGUUCCCGCUUCACACGUAUGUCAGGUCCCACGUCUGUGAGGAACUGCGGUGAUGUUUCCGAGCAGUGAUCCAGGGGCUGAGCU